CCUACGGGUGGCAGCAGUGAGGAAUAUUGGUCAAUGGGCGCGAGCCUGAACCAGCCAAGUAGCGUGAAGGAUGACUGCCCUACGGGUUGUAAACUUCUUUUAUCAAGGAAUAAAGUGAGGCACGUGUGCCUUUUUGUAUGUACUUUAUGAAUAAGGAUCGGCUAACUCCGUGCCAGCAGCCGCGGUAAUACGGAGGAUCCGAGCGUUAUCCGGAUUUAUUGGGUUUAAAGGGAGCGGAGAUGGGUUGUUAAGUCAGUUGUGAAAGUGUGCGGCUCAACCGUAAAAUUGCAGUUGAGACUGGCAGUCUUGAGUAGGGUUGAGGUAGGCGGAAUGCGCGGUGUAGCGGUGAAAUGCUUAGAUAUCACGCAGAACUCCGAUUGCGAAGGCAGCUUGCU
rnacentral:rRNA from 1 species